rnacentral:lncRNA from 1 species
AAUGAGGUUUCACAUUUAUUAAAGGAGUGUGCUCUGUAGAGUGCAGACUGGGGUCAGAGAAAGUUUACAGUGGCCACAAAGUUAAUGGCCACAGUCUUUUGCAUCCCUCCAUUCUGACGUCAGAAGGUAGUAUUCUCUGAUGGGCGGGGGAGAGGGGCAGUGAAUUAUGCCUGGCCCUGGCCGUGAGUUUCCUGAAAGUUUUUAUUUUCAGGAAAGGACCUUGAAGAGUGGUGGGCUUUCAGGAAAGGACCUUGCCCGAGCGGUGGGCUAUGCCCUAAUCUCCGGCCUCAGGUGGCUCACCUGGACUCAGGCUGUGCUCUGGUACCUGGGUAAUGUGGUGGACAUGGCAGAGGAAGAGCACUAAUCCAUCUUGGUGAGGUUUGUUGAUGAAUCUCAUAACCUACGAGAAGAGUUUGUGGACUUCCUGCCUUAUGAAGCUGAUGCAGAAAUUUUUAUUUAUUUUUAUUUUACUUUUUAUUUUAAAGAGAAUAAAAAACCAAUAACAAAAUAACAACAAUAUAGACAAAAAUAAAACAAAGCAAAAACAAUAAAAAUGAUACAGGUUUCAAAGCAAAGUGAAAGGAAUUAACAGUGGUUGUUAUAUUACACAUUAUCUUCAACAAAGUUGCUCAGGGGCUGGGGAUUUAGCUCAGUGGCAAAGCGCCUGCCUGGCAAGCGCAAGGUCGUGAGUUUGGUCCCUGGUACCGGAGAAAAACCAAAAAAAAAAAAAAAAC